GCGAAUGGUGGAUGCCUUGACUGGUAAAGGCGAUGAAGGACGUACUAGACUGCGAUAAGCUACGGGGAGCUGUCAAGAAGCUUUGAUCCGUAGAUUUCCGAAUGGGGCAACCCAAUGUAUAGAGAUAUACAUUACCUAUAUAGGAGCGAACGAGGGGAAUUGAAACAUCUUAGUACCCUCAGGAAAAGAAAUCAAUAGAGAUUGCGUCAGUAGCGGCGAGCGAAAGCGCAAGAGGGCAAACCCAGUGCUUGCACUGGGGGUUGUAGGACUGCAAUGUGCAAGAGGUGAGUUUAGCAGAACAUUCUGGAAAGUAUAGCCAUAGAGGGUGAUAGUCCCGUAUGCGAAAAACAAACCUUAGCUAGCAGUAUCCUGAGUAGGGCGGGACACGAGAAAUCCUGUCUGAAGCUGGGUCGACCACGAUCCAACCCUAAAUACUAAUACCAGAUCGAUAGUGCACAAGUACCGUGAGGGAAAGGUGAAAAGAACUGAGGUGAUCAGAGUGAAAUAGAACCUGAAACCAUUUGCUUACAAUCAUUCAGAGCCCUAUGUAGCAAUACAGGGUGAUGGACUGCCUUUUGCAUAAUGAGCCUGCGAGUUGUGGUGUCUGGCAAGGUUAAGCAAACGCGAAGCCGUAGCGAAAGCGAGUCUGAAUAGGGCGCUUAGUCAGAUGCUGCAGACCCGAAACGAAGUGAUCUAUCCAUGAGCAAGUUGAAGCUAGUGUAAGAACUAGUGGAGGACUGAACCCAUAGGCGUUGAAAAGCCCCGGGAUGACUUGUGGAUAGGGGUGAAAGGCCAAUCAAACUUCGUGAUAGCUGGUUCUCUCCGAAAUAUAUUUAGGUAUAGCGUUGUGUCGUAAUAUAAGGGGGUAGAGCACUGAAUGGGCUAGGGCAUACACCAAUGUACCAAACCCUAUCAAACUCCGAAUACCUUAUAUGUAAUCACAGCAGUCAGGCGGCGAGUGAUAAAAUCCGUCGUCAAGAGGGAAACAACCCAGACUACCAGCUAAGGUCCCUAAAUCUUACUUAAGUGGAAAACGAUGUGAAGUUACUUAAACAACCAGGAGGUUGGCUUAGAAGCAGCCAUCCUUUAAAGAAAGCGUAAUAGCUCACUGGUCUAGUGAUUUUGCGCGGAAAAUAUAACGGGGCUAAAGUAAGUACCGAAGCUGUAGACUUGCGCACAACUUAGAUUAUUUAAGUUUAGAAUAUGAGAAACUAAGUUAUAUGUUUAGUUAUAUUUUUACUGAUUUUUAUAGAGUAAAGAUAGAAAUAAAACUUAGUAAAAUCAGUAAAAAUAUUCUUAGACUAAAGUUAAGUAGUUUAAGUUGUGUGCAAGUGGUAGGAGAGCGUUCUAUUUGCGUCGAAGGUAUACCGGUAAGGAGUGCUGGAGCGAAUAGAAGUGAGCAUGCAGGCAUGAGUAGCGAUAAUUAAUGUGAGAAUCAUUAACGCCGUAAACCCAAGGUUUCCUACGCGAUGCUCGUCAUCGUAGGGUUAGUCGGGUCCUAAGUCGAGUCCGAAAGGGGUAGACGAUGGCAAAUUGGUUAAUAUUCCAAUACCAACAUUAGUGUGCGAUGGAAGGACGCUUAGGGCUAAGGGGGCUAGCGGAUGGAAGUGCUAGUCUAAGGUCGUAGGAGGUUAUACAGGCAAAUCCGUAUAACAAUACUCCGAGAACUGAAAGGCUUUUUGAAGUCUUCGGAUG
rnacentral:rRNA from 1 species